CGUCCUGCCGGCGACCGGCGCACGGGUGAGUAACACGUAUGCGACCUGCCCCCGCAGGGGAUAACCGGGAGAAAUCCCGACUAAUACCGCGUAACGCCGCGGACCUGCAUGGGUCUGCGGCCAAAGGAAGCGAUUCCGGCGGGGGAUGGGCAUGCGGCGCAUUAGGUAGUUGGUGGGGCAACGGCCCACCAAGCCGACGAUGCGUAGGGGUUCUGAGAGGAAGGUCCCCCACAUUGGAACUGAGACACGGUCCAAACUCCUACGGAAGGCAGCAG
rnacentral:rRNA from 1 species